rnacentral:rRNA from 1 species
GCUGGCGGUGCUAUACUGCAGUCGAACGCUUUUUCUUUCCCGGAGCUUGCUCCACCGAAAGAAAAAGAGUGGCGAACGGGUGAGUAACACGUGGGUAACCUGCCCAUCAUAAGGGGAUAACACUUGGAAACAGGUGCUAAUACCGUAUAACACUAUUUUCCGCAUGGAAGAAAGUUGAAAGGCGCUUUUGCGUCACUGAUGGAUGGACCCGCGGUGCAUUAACUAGUUGGUGAGGUAACGGCUCACCAAGGCCACGAUGCAUAGCCGACCUGAGAGGGUGAUCGGCCACACUGGGACUGAGACACGGCCCAGACUCCUACGGGAGGCAGCAGUAGGGAAUCUUCGGCAAUGGACGAAAGUCUGACCGAGCAACGCCGCGUGAGUGAAGAAGGUUUUCGGAUCGUAAAACUCUGUUGUUAGAGAAGAACAAGGAUGAGAGUAAAACGUUCAUCCCUUGACGGUAUCUAACCAUAAAGCCACGGCUAACUACGUGCCAGCAGCCGCGGUAAUACGUACGUGGCAAGCGUUGUCCGGAUUUAUUGGGCGUAAAGCGAGCGCAGGCGGUUUCUUAAGUCUGAUGUGAAAGCCCCCGGCUCAACC